ACGGGAGGCAGCAGUGGGGAAUAUUGGGCAAUGGGCGAAAGCCUGACCCAGCGACGCCGCGUGAGGGAAGAAGGUCUUCGGAUUGUAAACCUCUUUCAGCAGGGAAGAAGAAAGUGACGGUACCUGCAGAAGAAGUCACGGCUAACUACGUGCCAGCAGCCGCGGUAAUACGUAGGUGGCGAGCGUUACCCGGAAUGACUGGGUGUAAAGGGUGUGUAGGCGGGGAGACAAGUCAGGCGUGAAAUCUAUGGGCUCAACUCAGAGACUGCGCUUGAAACUGUCACGCUUGAGUGUGGGAGAGGUAAGCGGAAUUCCUGGCGUAGUGGUGGAAUGCGUAGAUAUCAGGAAGAACACCAGUGGCGAAGGCGGUUUACUGGACCGCAACUGACGCUGAGGCACGAAAGCGUGGGGAGCAAACAGGAUUAGAUACCCUGGUA
rnacentral:rRNA from 1 species